UGGCGGACGGGUGAGUAAUGUCUGGGAAACUGCCCGAUGGAGGGGGAUAACUACUGGAAACGGUAGCUAAUACCGCAUAACGUCGCAAGACCAAAGAGGGGGACCUUCGGGCCUCUUGCCAUCGGAUGUGCCCAGAUGGGAUUAGCUAGUAGGUGGGGUAACGGCUCACCUAGGCGACGAUCCCUAGCUGGUCUGAGGGGAUGACCAGCCACACUGGAACUGAGACACGGUCCAG
rnacentral:rRNA from 1 species